UACGGAGGGGGCAAGCGUUGUCCGGAUUCAUUGGGUUUAAAGCGUGCGUAGGCGGCUUAUUAAGUCAGGGGUGAAAGCCGGCGGCUCAACUGCCGAACUGCCAUUGAUACUGACAAGCUUGAGUAUAGUCGAGGUAGGCGGAAUUCAUGGUGUAGCGGUGAAAUGCAUAGAUACCAGAAAGAACACCGAUAGCGAAGGCAGGCUACUAGGCUACUACUGACGCUGAGGCACGAAAGCAUGGGGAUCGAACAGG
rnacentral:rRNA from 1 species